UGACUGACUGACUGACUGACUGACUGACUGACUGACUGACUGACUAAGUGACUGACUGACUGACUGACUGACUGACUGACUGACUGACUGACUGACUGACUGACUAAGUGACUGACUGACUGACUGACUGACUGACUGACUGACUGACUGACUGACUGACUGACUGACUAAGUGACUGACUGACUGACUGACUGACUAAGUGACUGACUGACUGACUGACUGACUGACUGACUGACUAAGUGACUGACUGGUAGCUGGUAGUAGUAGUAGUAGUGUAGUAUUACAUCAUAGGCUACGGUCAACUCUCUCUCUCUCUCUCUCUCUCUCUCUCUCUCUCUCUCUCUCUCUCUCUCUCUCUCUCUCUCUCUCUCUCUCUCUCUUACACCACAUAACAGUCAUGAUAGUCCCUUCUCUUGGUAGUGACAUGAUGUAGAGAUCUCUGUGCCAUAAUUAUGGAGAGAGCGUGUUUAUAUUCCAUAGACACGCAUAGAAAGACGGCGCCAUUUGCAUCAGCUGAUGAGGCCCAGACCGAGACCCAAACAUUCUCUCCAGUGCGGUUCCUGCAGCCUGUGUGAUGUGAUUAUUCAUAUUUUUGCCUACCUACACACCUGGCCGGCACUCCCACAGCGUGUAUAGAGACUGAGAACCAAAUGUGGAUGAAGUGGAGAGAAUCCGUUCAAAUUUACAGCAGAUGGAUAGAUUCCAUGGCCCUUAUCCACAUGAGUCCUGGAAGAAGUGGAUCUCUCUCACUCAGCACGUGGAGGAGACAGAACUGAAGUGGAUGAUCCCGCUGUCAGGCCGGACAGCUUAGUGGCAGAGCUCCAGGUGGCCUUCGUCAGCUUCUUGGUGGCACAGGUGUGGGAUGGCUGGGACCAGUGGAGGUGUGUGGAGGAGCAUCUGUGCCAGGCAGAGGUGCUGCUGCUGGAGGGGCUGCAGUUGUGUGCAAAGCUCCUCUUGGUCCUACACUAUAUUUUUCGUCUUUCUAUAUAUAAAGUUGUCUCUCUCUCUCUCUAUUACGUUAACUUAACCCUUUCCUUCCCCACAGAUCCCUGAAGACCUAUUCAUCAACAUUGUAGUCCAACAACUUCCUUGCCUCUGCACUCAACGCUCUCUUCACCAACAUCAAGGACAACUCCGCCAACCUGCCUUGGUCCUUAAGGCUCAGCACUUCAAGGACCACCUCUCUGCCAAGUUCGAGUGGGAUCUGACACUUGGGGACGAGAGAGUACACGCUGGUGGUGGUUGACUUGGUGUGUGGAGUGAUGGGGUGAUGGGGGUGUUCUGGGAAGGGGCAUGUUUGUAAUUGUGUGCUUGUGUGAUUCUUUGUUUUAUUUUUUCUUAUUGUUUUUCUUGCUCAUCUUUCUUCUUCUUCCUCUGUGUGUGUUUUGUGAGAGAGAGAGAGAGAGAGAGAGAGAGAGAGAGAGAGAGAGAGAGUAUAGGAAUGGAAUGGAGGAAGUGAAAGGAAGACGAGGAGAAAGGGAGAAAAGAAUAUGAAGAAGUAGUAGUCUCUCUCUCUCUCUCUCUCUCUCUCUCUCUCUCUCUCACUCACAGCCCACAGCCCCACAGUAUGUCCCCCACAGUAUGUUGACUUACCCACAGUCACCAACCACAGCCCCCUCCACCAGUAUAGGCCCGCACCCCGCCCAUUUUAACACUCACUG